rnacentral:rRNA from 1 species
AGUGAACGCUGGCGGUAGGCCUAACACAUGCAAGUCGAACGGCAGCACAGUAAGAGCUUGCUCUUACGGGUGGCGAGUGGCGGACGGGUGAGGAAUACAUCGGAAUCUACUUUUUCGUGGGGGAUAACGUAGGGAAACUUACGCUAAUACCGCAUACGACCUACGGGUGAAAGCAGGGGAUCUUCGGACCUUGCGCGAUUGAAUGAGCCGAUGUCGGAUUAGCUAGUUGGCGGGGUAAAGGCCCACCAAGGCGACGAUCCGUAGCUGGUCUGAGAGGAUGAUCAGCCACACUGAAACUGAGAAACGGUCCAGAAUCCGACGAGAGGCAGCAGUGGGGAAUCUUGGACAAUGGGCGCAAGCCUGAUCCAGCCAGACAGCGUGGGUGAAGAAGGCCUUCGGGUUGUAAAGCCCUUUUGUUGGGAAAGAAAAGCAGCAGGUUAAUACCCCGCUGUUCUGACGGUACCCAAAGAAUAAGCACCGGCUAACUUCGU